GGUGGGAAAGCCGGGCUCCUAUUUCCUGUGUCACUGGUUUCUCUGGAAUGCCACCAGAAGGGCGGGAAGCACGGCCCUGCAGCUCUAGGCAGGACAAAGAGUUUGAAUUUCCCGCGCUUCCCCUUCGCGGCACCUCGUUGGCUGGUCCGGACGGCCCCGCAGAGGCUGUGUUGUGGGGCAUUUGUUCCCUCACUUCCUAAAGGUCCCAAGACUUCUUGUGUUUGCGUUUCAAUGUUUCGGCCCUCUAACCACGAGGGGUGCAGUAUGCUAUGGAUAUGGAGGAUGACAGAAGAAUUUUCUGAAUCAACCCAAGUGUUGUACCCAAGUGAAAAAAUGGAGAAGAAACAGUCACAAUCCUGGAAAAGGAAAAAACAGCCAAAAGACAGAGCAAUGAGGACAAUCAUUCCUGCUUCGGAUUGGAUUUUAAAUUCGUAUUGUUCAGAAAAUCAAAUUGUUUCAAUUAUUAGUGCUAACGUAAAAGCUCUCCACGCCAGAUUACAAUGGAGUAUUCAAAACCCUCCCGCUAGGUGGAGGGCUUUUAUGCAAAUGAGGGAUGCUGAUUAUGCUUUUUCAUUGGUUACUUGAAAAGAGCCAAUGGGAGACUUGUAUUCAGCAUACCUGCCGUUAGUAUAAAUACUUCUCUUGCUCUCAGUGUGGCUCUACACUGCUCGCGUUUUCUUUUGAAGGCGUUUGCUUUUUUCUCUGCUGGCGAUGUCUGGACGUGGAAAGCAGGGUGGCAAGGCUCGCGCCAAGGCCAAGACCCGUUCGUCGCGGGCCGGGCUGCAGUUCCCGGUGGGCCGCGUCCACCGCCUGCUCCGCAAGGGAAACUACUCAGA